GCAUCCUUCCUCUGUAUCUAUGGGUCUCCCACUGUUGUUAAUAUGAGAAAGCAAUCUGCAAAUUCAGGAAGAACAGGAAAACAAUAGUUGAGUAUAAUAUAUAGCUUUGUGCUCAUGAGACUUCCAUUGGAUAGGCAUGCACAGACAUUGUUAAAGUUAUAUGAUUAAUAUAACCCAGUAAAAACAAAUUUAAGUGCAGCUCUUUAUUCUUUUAGAGAGUUUUCCUUUCAUUCAACUGUUAUAUGUUGAGACUUCCAAGGCCAUAACAAAAUUCUAUUAUUAUUAUUAUUAUUAUUAUUAUUAAAAAGUGUUAAUUUCAUUGUUAAAUCCUUUUAUCUAUCCAUCCAAUAAUCAGACUACUAUGGUAGUAUCACAGCUUUGCAUCAUGAAUGGUCAAAAUUACUCCAAGGACAAUGAACUGGUAAACAGCAGCAUACUCCAAUACUGUAACAUUUUGUAGUCUAGAUCAGAGUCCCCAAACUUGACAGAUUACACACCACCAAUUUAAAAUGAUACAACCUUAAAUUCCACCAGCACAUUUUUCAGUUCAUCCUUAAGUACCAUCAGCAAAUUCUUGUCAUAUAAAGUAAAUAUAAGAAAUCUGUUAAUGCAGGUCCUCUGUAUACCACUGACAGGCUGUCUGCAUACUAC